rnacentral:rRNA from 1 species
UCCUUGCUUUUCCGCCUAUAUACCGCCGUCGUCAGCUUACCCUGUGAAGGACUUAUAGUAAGCAAAAUUGGCACAGCCUAAAACGUCAGGUCGAGGUGUAGCGCAUGAGAGGGGAAGAAAUGGGCUACAUUCACUGGCACAGUGAAUUACGAAAGAUGCUUUGAAACAACCGUCCGAAGGAGGAUUUAGCAGUAAGGAGGAAAAUAGAGCGUUCCCCUGAAACUGGCCCUGAAGCGCGCACACACCGCCCGUCACUCUCCCCAAGCUAAACAUCCUUAAUAAAUAAAACAAUAAAAUUGCAAAGGGGAGGCAAGUCGUAACAUGGUAAGUGUACCGGAAGGUGCACUUGGAAAAAU